rnacentral:rRNA from 1 species
AUUGAACGCUGGCGGCAUGCCUUACACAUGCAAGUCGAACGGCAGCACGGGAGCAAUCCUGGUGGCGAGUGGCGAACGGGUGAGUAAUACAUCGGAACGUGCCCAGUAGUGGGGGAUAACCCGGCGAAAGCCGGACUAAUACCGCAUACGACCUACGGGUGAAAGCAGGGGAUCGCAAGACCUUGCGCUAUCGGAGCGGCCGAUGUCAGAUUAGCUAGUUGGUGGGGUAAAAGCCUACCAAGGCGACGAUCUGUAGCUGGUCUGAGAGGACGACCAGCCACACUGGGACUGAGACACGGCCCAGACUCCUACGGGAGGCAGCAGUGGGGAAUUUUGGACAAUGGGCGCAAGCCUGAUCCAGCCAUGCCGCGUGCGGGAAGAAGGCCUCGGUUGUAA